AUGUGGGACUGUGGACGAUGUUUAUUGGCUGUUCAUUUUGGUAUAAACAAAUUUCAUUCCGAUGCUGGUAAUAAUGUUAGUGAUAUGGAGACUCUGAUUCAAACACGGUGCAAAUCUGGAACACUUAAGUCAGAGUAAGCAUUGGGUUACUUCAAUUCCAUGAUUCAAACGAAAUCCAUUCCCUCUAAUUGGACUUUUAAAUGUUUGUUUGGGGCACUUUACAAGAUGAAGCAAUAUUCUGCCCUAGUAUCUAUGUAUAAACAGUUGAUGGGUUGUCGUCAAUUCCAACCUGAUGUCACUACAAUGAAUAUUUUCAUGAAUUGCUUGUGCCGUCUGAACAGGGUGGACUUGGGUUUCUCGGUCUUAGCACUUACCUUUAAAUAUGGUCUUGAGCCUGAUGCUUAUUCACUGAAUGCUUUGCUUCAAGGGCUUUGCAAGAAUAGCUCCCUGUCUGAGGCAGUGGAGUUGUUCCGGAAAAUUGAAGAGAAAGGAUACCCAGAUGUUGUCACCUACAAUACUCUAAUUUAUGGAUUGUGCCAAUCAGGCAAGUGGGAAAAAGCCAAGAGCUUCUUGAUUUGCAUGGUUGACAGUGGAAUUCCACCAGAUGUAUAUACCUACGGUGUUCUAAUCAGUGCUCUUUGCAAAGAAGAAAGAAUUUAAGAAGCACUUGCUCUGUUCGAAGACAUGACUGGGAAAGGCAUAUAUCCUGAAUGUUUUCAUUUUCAAUUCCUUAAUUUCUGCUUCAUGCAAGUGUUGCAAAUGGGAAGAAGCCGCACAGUUAUUUCAAAACAUGGUUGAUAGUGGAAUUUCACCAGAUGUAUAUACCUACAGUGUUCUAAUCAGUGCUCUUUGCAAAGAAGAAAGAAUUCAAGAAGCGCUUGCUCUGUUCGAAGACAUGACUGGGAAAGGCAUAAAUCCUGAUGUUGUCAUUUUCAAUUCCUUAAUUUCUGCUUCAUGCAAAUGUUGCAAAUGGGAAGAAGCCGCACAGUUAUUUCAAAACAUGAUUGAUUGUGGAUCCCUGCCUGAUAUUGUAACAUUCACCGCUGUGUUGGGUGCUUUGUGCAAGGAUGGGAAAACGGUAGAGGCACUUAAUCUUGUGGAAGAAAUGACCCGUAGAGGUCAAAUGCCUAAUCUUGUGACUUACAACUCCUUAAUUGAUGGAUUGUGCCAUUCUGGCCAAUGGAGAGAAGCCACAAAGUUGUUGAAUAAAAUGAUGGGGGAAGGAAUCCCACCAGAUGUUGUAACCCUUAACAUUGUUAUAAAAUAUCUUUGCAAGGAACGAAGGACCAAUGAAGCCCUCACUGUGCUAGAGCUAAUGGCUGAAGGAGGUCUAAAACCUGACAUUGUCACUUACAACUGUUUAAUAUAUGGCAUGUGCCAUACAGCUCAAUCGGGAGAAGCCACAAGGUUGUUUGAUGAAAUGGUAGGUCGAGGGAUCUUACCUGAUGCCAUAACGUUGAGAACACUUUUGGAUGCUCUCUGCCAAGUAAGGAUGACAGAGGAGGCUCGCAAAGUAUUUGAGGCAAAAAUUAAGUAUGGUAUGGAGCUUAGCACAAUAUCUUGCAGUAUGUUGGUUAAUGAAUACUGUUUGUUUGGCAGGAUGGAUAAGGCAAAGAAGGUCUUUAAUUUCUUGGUGGCUCUGGGUCAUGUGCCUGAUAUUGCUUCUUGCUAUAAUGCCUUGGUGAAUGGUUAUGUGCAAGAUAAAAGAAUGGGUGAAGCUUUGAGGCAUGCUAAAGAAAUGAUCCAAAAAGGAUUGAUGUCUGAUCUAGAGACACAAAAAACUUUGAAAGGUUUCCGUUGUAGAAGGCAUGUUGCAUCUGCAGAAUAA